UGCCUUCUGUUGUCGUGAGAUGUUGGGUUAAGUCCCGUAACGAGCGCAACCCUUGUCCUUAGUUACCAGCACGUUAUGGUGGGCACUCUAAGGAGACUGCCGGUGACAAACCGGAGGAAGGUGGGGAUGACGUCAAGUCAUCAUGGCCCUUACGGCCUGGGCUACACACGUGCUACAAUGGUCGGUACAGAGGGUUGCCAAGCCGCGAGGUGGAGCUAA
rnacentral:rRNA from 1 species